rnacentral:tRNA from 1 species
GCGUGUCGUGGGGCAGAUGCAGUUCGACACCUAUCAUGUGUUUACGGUUGAUGAGCAUAUCAUCGACGCGCU